rnacentral:rRNA from 1 species
AUUGAACGCUGGCGGCAGGCCUAACACAUGCAAGUCGAACGAGUGGCGGACGGGUGAGUAAUGUCUGGGAAACUGCCCGAUGGAGGGGGAUAACUACUGGAAACGGUAGCUAAUAACGCAUACCAUCGGAUGUGCCCAGAUGGGGUUAGCUCGUCGGUGGGGUAACGGCUCACCUAGGCGACGAUCGCUAGCUGGUCUGAGAGGAUGACCAGCCACACUGGAACUGAGACACGGUCCAGACCCCUACGGGAGGAAGCAGUGGGGAAUAUUGCACAAUGGGCGAAAGCCUGAUGCGGCCAUGCCGCGUGUAUGAGGAAGGCCUUCGGUUUGUAAAGUCCUUUCAGCGGGGAGGCGUUACCCGCAGAAGAAGCGCCGGCUAACUCCGUGCCAGCAGCCGCGGUAAUAC